CCUGCAAAAGCAUCACUUGGUGUGGUUUCUUUUCACACUUCAAUUUUUUCGUCUUUUCUAUUCAUACCUGUUCCUGUAUAUGGUUCUUCGCAUGUAUAAACAAAUUCUAAUCCUGGGUUGAUUUAAACACGACCAAUUUGCCUGAAUUUGUACAUAUUAUGCAUGAUUAUUCAAGCAUAAUAUGCUCAAACGGGUGAUAUUGGACCCAUAGAAACUCACCUCAGAGAGGCAUGAGGAUCGAUGCCCAUCUAUUUCUCAUAUCAGUUCUGAGAGCAAAGGCAUAAAGCAAAGCCUUUGGUCUUUAUGAGGGAAGAGGUUGCUAGGAUUCUUUGAAGCUUAUUUAUUUCAAAGUGAUGAGAGAAAACGAGAGGAUCCAAGCUGAAGGAUGAAGAGCAAGCUCGAGAUCUUAAUGCUGCCGUAAUCAAUUCUAAUCGCUCCCUGCG